AACAGAAACAGAGGCAAGGCAGAGACGNNNNNNNNNNNNNNNNNNNNNNNNNAAGGGAGGCAGGGCCUGACCUCUCCCAGUUUUUUCUUUAACUCUAUCAGAGACAGCAUUCCAGGGGAGUGGCCUGGUGGCACUUGACCCUUCAAUUCUCCUCAGAUAGGGCAGGAGUCAAGUUGCUCCUUGGGUCAGUUCUCAGCACCCAUGGAUGCCCACGUCCAGAGCUGCACCCAUGCCCACCCAGGCUAGGUGUGGUUUGCAGUGUCAGCGUAGGUGGAGGAGAACUCCCAAGCUCCCAGCCAGCUGAGUCUGGCCCGGAGCCCCUUCUAGUGUGACGGCACCUAGGCGAAUCUUGGUCUGUCAGGACCCGAGGUGCUGGACAGCUCCCAGCCCCAGAAAUAUUUCUCCAGAGAGAGCCAGAGAGUUGGGGCGAGGCUUCUACCCAAAACGGCCACAAUUCCCACCCUUAGGAGAAGUGCAAAGGCUGCCGGGAGCAGUGGGGGAGAGCACUUGGGGUUGUGAGGGGGUCCUGAUGGAGAUGUGGUGGGGACCUGGAGACUGGUGCCCUGGGGGCAACUUCUCCAGACACAUUCCUUCCUUCUGAGUCGAGACCCCCCACUGACUCCACCACCCCCUGCCAGGGACAAUGGUUCCUUCAGCCCCCAGAGAUGAAUGGGGCCUUUCAGAGCCCCACGCCACGGGGUCAGCAGCGGCCACCGGGUCCCAGGGCUGCCCAGCCUUCAGAGCACAGAGUCACUGGUCUGGGGCGGUUGCAUAGCUCUUGGGGGAGGGAAGGUAUCCUAUGAUCCUGGUCUUAGACUAAGACUGGUGCCUCCUGGGAAAGAGAAUCAUCCCAGAUCAGAAAGUUCCUGGUAAAGAAGGAUUUUAGGGGUGUGGGGAAAGAGGAACUCCCCCUCUCUGUGCCAGGUGAGGAGACAGUUGCGUGCCUCCUUGGGAGGCAACAGAGAAAGCUGUGUAGGGACAGAACCUACAAAGAUUCUCUCUCCCCUCUCCAAAUCAAGGUCCCCCCUUCCUUUGGAUGGGGCAGUGUCCUCCUCUCAGUGCCCAGGUCCCUUCUUCUAGGGCUGUCCCUGAGGUCUGGUCCCUCCUCCCUGCUCCUGUCUCCCCUCCCCAUCUCACACUGCACAGACUAUCCGGUUUCUAUGGUAACAGGCCCAGGAAGGCUCUGCCAGGAGGCCAAGGCCACUAUUGCUGUUGGUGGGGAGAGGGCUAUAGGAAUUGAACAUAAGGAGCAGAAAGUGAGUUCUAGCUCUCAGAGGGGGACAAAGACCUGUUGGGAGUGAGAUUUUCACUGCUGGAGGGGCACGAAGAAGGGAAGCCAGAAAUAUAAUUUUGUGAUGUGACUCAGGCAGAGUUGAAGGGCGCCUUCUUGUUGCUCCGGUUCUUAGUGCUCUAGAAAUCUAGACAAGCCCCAUCAGAGGGGUAACUGGUGGGUGAAGAAGUUUUGCCCCUGCCUUUUCCACCUGAGGCUCUAUUGUUCUACUCCUCCUGGGGACAUGCCCACUUGAGAGAAGGGGGUCCCCAGGAAACUAGAAUGCUAUUGGGGGAAAAUCAGAGUGGGUGUGGGUAUUCAGGGCUGUUCAGGCAGCUGGAGCUGGAGGUGGCCAGAGCCUAGGAGUGUCAGGUGCUUUUGUGGCAUCUCUCCUCAUAUCUCCGUUGAAGAGUUGGGGGUGGGUCUGGAGGCUGCAGCUUCCUCCCCUCUAUCCAACCUGUCAGGAUGCUGGGGUAUGAAAAGAAGAGAGUGGAGGUGGCCAAGCAGGGGUUGGGAGGAGAGAAAGUAAAAGAAGCCUGAGGAAGGAGGGAAGGCCAGAAGAGAAGUGG
rnacentral:lncRNA from 1 species